rnacentral:miRNA from 1 species
CCCUCAUUGUACAUGCUGUGUGUA